AUCCAAACCACACCCAGUGAUCCCAGUUCUCAUUUUUGGCAGCCUCAGCUGCUCAGACCUGCUGAGCUGCUGCCCCUGGCUCUGGGCAGUGCUGAGCUGGAGCCCAUCGCUUUGUCCAGCCGCUCAUCAAGGGGCUCAGGGCAUUUUCCCACUUUCUAAGUCCCCAGCCCAGCCCAGGAGCCCUGGGGCCGAUCCUGCACGGAGGAAGAUGAGGAUGAGGAUGAAGAGCUGCUCCUCCUUAACCUUGGCAGCCCUGACCUACAUUGCAGCCCCUUUAUUCUCCUCUCCCUGCUGCAGAAGCAGUUUAUUUGGGGAAUACAUAAAAAGCCCUGAAAAUACAGCCCCUGACGAUAUUUCAGGCUGAUGGUUU
rnacentral:lncRNA from 12 species